AGCUCCGUCCUGACGGGCAUUCCUGGCCCCAAGGGACCCGAGUGCCCCGGUCCCUACAGAGGACAUCGAGUGCCAUGUAAGAAAAUGGACAGCAGAAGAGGUUGGAAAAGUCUCCUGGCUCGGCUUUGGCAGCAAGUGUCCGUGUGAGUGGACACAGCCGAGGACCUGCUCGCUCCUUUCCAGAACAGUCAAGAUGGAGGCAACGCUGAAUACAGACCUAAACUGAUGAUUUGUGCUUUACCCAAGGGAAGCCGGAAGGCAGCUCGGCUCACCUGGGACCACACUGGAUCCUGGUGGACCACCACUGGCUUCAAGCACUGCCCUCUGUUGGGAAAAGCAAGAACGUACAGGGGCCAGCAGCAUGACACAGGAGGAUAAACAUGUUUGGGCAUCUCGUAUGAGGGACAGCACCCACAUGGGAAAAUCGGAAG